ACUGUAUAAACUCCAUUUUUCGGCUGCAUAGCAGGUGUGGUAAAGAAAAUCAUAUGCAGAAAAUGGAUGAGGUAUUGAGGUCGGAAAUAUUUAAAGAUUUCUGGCUGAAUAACAGCAGGUCCAGUUAAAAAAUAAAAUGCAGAAAAAGAAUGAGGUUGGAAAAUAUGUAAAGGUAAAGAAGAACAAGAAAUUUGAAUGCUCAAAAUUCUAGACGUUAAUUCUUUUGAUUAGCAAGUUUUAAAACCCCAAUUCCCAUUCUUACCCCAAAUAUCCAUCACUCAAACCAACAACCUACAGGGAAGCAAUAACAUCAUCCAGGAACUAAGGAAAAGCACUUUGCUCCUCCAUAAGUCAAAAUGCAAACAGCAUUUCCAGCAGAAAGUAAAAAUAUGAAUUAGCAUAACGAAUAUAUAACUUCCAAGUGCCCUUGCACGUCGGAUCAUUCAAAAACAAAAAGAGCAGCCCAAAUCUGCAUUCAAACUAAGUGUAUCAUCAGGGAUGCAUCCAUUACAGAAUAUUUCAUAUGCAUCAGUGUUACUUAACCCCGUUUUCCAUAAUAAACCUUACAAGAAGCAAAUUCUAGAUAAUUAAAGUUAUGCAUUCGUCCUCUGCUCUUACUACUAGCUUAAAUAUUAUUCCAAUAAACGAACAGAAAGUUAAAUAGCACGAAAGUAAUAAUUACUAACUGAUUAAUAAAAUUAACUUGAAUCAAUGAUUGAUCAAUAGAACACAGUUCCUUCAGAGAAAUAAACUGCUCGAACAAAUCAAGUACCAAAAUUAAAUUGAAUUUCCUCUAAUCAGUUCAUGUAAAAUUAUAUAACAACUAAAUGAACUAAUUCAAUCACGAAACUCUAAAUUGAAAUGUUAAUUAUACGGAAACGACGAUUCUGAACUUCGGAGCACAAUUAAUUCUCUAGCAUAUAGAGGAUAAGGUAACAGACCGGUACGGAAUUAGCCAUCAAGG
rnacentral:misc_RNA from 1 species